rnacentral:rRNA from 1 species
AUUGAACGCUGGCGGCAUGCCUUACACAUGCAAGUCGAACGGUAACGCGGGGCAACCUGGCGACGAGUGGCGAACGGGUGAGUAAUGCAUCGGAACGUGCCCAGUAGUGGGGGAUAGCCCGGCGAAAGCCGGAUUAAUACCGCAUACGACCUACGGGUGAAAGCGGGGGACCGUAAGGCCUCGCGCUGUUGGAGCGGCCGAUGUCAGAUUAGGUAGUUGGUGGGGUAAAGGGACCUACCAAGCCUUCGAUCUGUAGCUGGUCGUGAGAGGACGGACCAGCCACACUGGGACGUGAGACACGGCCCACGACUCCUACGGGAGGC